AGGCGGUCUGUCACGUCGGAAGUGAAAACUCAGGGCUUAACCCUGAGCCUGCUUCCGAUACGGGCAGACUAGAGGGAUGCAGGGGAGAACGGAAUUCCUGGUGGAGCGGUGGAAUGCGCAGAUAUCAGGAGGAACACCGGUGGCGAAGGCGGUUCUCUGGGCAUCAUCUGACGCUGAGAAGCGAAAGCGUGGGGAGCAAACAGGCUUAGAUACCCUGGUAGUCCACGCCGUAAACGGUGGGCACUAGGUGUGGGACUCAUUCCACGAGUUCCGUGCCGUAGCUAACGCAUUAAGUGCCCCGCCUGGGGAGUACGGCCGCAAGGCUAAAACUCAAAGGAAUUGACGGGGGCCCGCACAAGCGGCGGAGCAUGCGGAUUAAUUCGAUGCAACGCGAAGAACCUUACCUGGGUUUGACAUAUGCCGGAAAGCUGCAGAGAUGCAGCCCCCGCAAGGUCGGUAUACAGGUGGUGCAUGGCUGUCGUCAGCUCGUGUCGUGAGAUGUUGGGUUAAGUCCCGCAACGAGCGCAACCCUCGUCCUAUGUUGCCAGCGGGUCAUGCCGGGGACUCAUAGGAGACUGCCGGGGUCAACUCGGAGGAAGGUGGGGAUGACGUCAAGUCAUCAUGCCCCUUAUGUCCAGGGCUUCACGCAUGCUACAAUGGCUGGUACAAAGAGCUGCGAAACCGCAAGGUCAAGCGAAUCUCAAAAAGCCAGUCUCAGUUCGGAUUGGGGUCUGCAACUCGACCCCAUGAAGUCGGAGUCGC
rnacentral:rRNA from 1 species